UACAGAUUGAAGAUGAGUGGAGGUAGUUUAAAGAGAUCUUCUAUGUAGAGAGCGAUCAAGAAUGCAUCCAAGAAGACAACAGUGCAGUGUCGUUUGGGAAGGAUACAAAAGAACCAGGAUCAGGAGUUGAAAAAAGAAGACUAAAGGGACUAAAGGUGACAUCAGCUUUUAGAAUUCUGGAAUCUCCAGAGAAGGCCAAAUUUUGGAUGUUAUAUGGAGCCUGAAUUUUUAGACGUCGUAAUGUUAGAACCAGUUUAUUCGUCUCCACGGUGUUAAGAGGGCACGCCCAGAAGAUAUGGUUCAAAUCUUGGAACUGAGCAUUGCAUUGACAGGCCUCAGAGGAGGCGGCACCGAUUCUAUGAAGUCCAUAUUGGUAAACCAAGGACAGCCCAAGGUAGGAGGAGACCAUUUAAAGAAAUUGAUUCCCUUAUACUGGGCUUGAUCAGCAAGAUAGUCAUAGGCCUUGGAUUUCAUCCAACUUUUACAGUGCACAGCAAGAUCAGACCAGACUACUUUAGUAUUUAUUGUAGAAAUACUGAGGGCUUCUUUGGCCUUUUUAUCCGCCAUCUCAUUACCAUGGAUUCCCUGAUGGGAUGGGAUCCAGAUAAACUGAAUUUGAAGUCCGAUGGAUCGGCUGCAAGAAGAGCCAAUGCCUCUGUGAAGAAAAUAGAAGCCUUGUUGCAGUAUCUGAAUUUCCUAAUUAGUCUUGAGUUAGCUACGUAGACUGCAGCCCCACAUCUCUCACGGGUGGACGACCAAGAGCCAUCUGUGUAUAUAUAAACCCAGUUCCGGAAUUCCUUCAGAAGGAAGGUGCCAAGACCGUUAUUAGGGUUCUACGUUUCUCUCAUAGAAAAGCCAAACUCAAGGUCCACAUCGA